rnacentral:pre_miRNA from 3 species
CUAUGUGGCUCAGGAAGCAGAGCACUACAGACAUCUCUACCAUGGCCUGGACCCUCUCUUCCUCACCCUCCUGAGUCUCUGCAAAGGUGG